rnacentral:rRNA from 1 species
UACGGGGGGGGUAAGCGUUGUUCGGAAUUACUGGGCGUAAAGGGCUCGUAGGCGGCCAACUAAGUCGGACGUGAAAUCCCUCAGCUUAACUGGGGAACUGCGUCCGAUACUGGAUGGCUUGGAUUUGGGAGAGGGAUGCGGAAUUCCAGGUGUAGCGGUGAAAUGCGUAGAUAUUCGCAAGAACACCAGUGGCGAAGGCGGCUCACUGGCCCGGUACUGACGCUGAGGUGCGAAAGCGUGGGGAGCAAACAGG